GGUUGGUGCAAAAGUAACUGCGGUUUUUGUCAUUACUUUUAAAUGGCAAAGACUGUAGUUACUUUUGCACCAA
ensembl:miRNA